UACGUAGGGUGCGAGCGUUGUCCGGAAUUAUUGGGCGUAAAGGGCUCGUAGGCGGUUUGUCGCGUCGGGAGUGAAAUCCACUGGCUUAACUGGUGGCUUGCUUUCGAUACGGGCAGACUGGAGGUAUGCAGGGGAGAACGGAAUUCCUGGUGUAAGCGGUGAAAUGCGCAGGAAUAUCAGGAGGAACACCGGUGGCGAAGGCGGUCUCUGGG
rnacentral:rRNA from 1 species